GCAGGAGUGGUGGAAUCGGCAGACACGCUACUUUGAGGGGGUAGUGAAAGAAAUUUCGUGCGGGUUCAAAUCCCGCCUCCUGCACCA
rnacentral:tRNA from 1 species